AUGAGAUGGUUGGAUGGCAUCACUGACACAAUGGACAUGAGUUUGAGCAGGCUCCAGGAGAUAAUGAAUGACAGGGAAGGCUGGCAUGCAGCGGUUCAUGACAUUGCAAAGAGUUGAACAUGAUUUAGUGACCGAACAACAUGGUGGUCUUUAAUACACAAAAGUGCAAAAUUUAUAUACAGCCAAUCUAUGAAGUUUUGCUUUCAAAGUUCCUGCCUUUGGUAUUAUGUUACUUAGAAAAGCCUUCCCUAUCCUGGUUCAUACACUUGUUUGCUCUUCCCCUCGCCCCAACUUCCCCCCACCUUUUUAGGGAGUUACUUUUCAUAAUUUUAAAAAACUCCUCCUGUCAAAUCAAGGUGUCACUAGAUAGGACUGCAACCAGCUCGUCUCCUUCUUUGUUAACAAAUGAAUGUGGGAAUGGUCCUAUAUGAUUAAAGGUGAAUACGUCUAGGGCACAUAUGGAAAUAGAAUUUAUUUUAAACAACAAAACUUUCUAACAAUCCAGGAUGAUCUGGUGCCAUACCCGUGAGAAUGACGGCGUGUACCUCCACACAGCUGGCCCGUGGCCCUGCAGAGGUGCUCUCACACUCAUCAUCACAGUCGGUUCCCACAGUCCCGAGAGGUCAGCGCCAGGAGACAGAGCGCGGGACCUGACUCACUCCAAGGAUCUUUCCAGGCUAAUUUUUUCCUGAUUUCAUCAAGUUUGCCAAAGUCCCAUUUUUAAUGACCUUACCAAGUCUGGCUGACUUACAAAGAAGCAAAGGAAGAAAGUAAAACAGAAAACACACAGAAAGAUGUUUGAGGCUAAUGCUUCGAAUCGCGUGUACUGCACAAAGUGAGAACGAGAAUUUAAUUUUCUGGUCUGCUUGUUCUAGCAUGCUUCUCUAGGUUUAUCAUCAACUCUGAGGGGGACACAGAGAAUAUAAAAGAUAUUCUAAUUCAAGUGACUGUGUUCAAUUCAUUCCAUUCUCCUUAUAAAACUGUCUGCUGUAAAGUCCUGUCUAAUGUGGAAGAGUUUUAAGUUGCUAAAUAAACCACAUAUUAAUUCCCAUUAAUGCUGAACCAUGGGAGCAUGUUUGCCUGAUCCCUGACUCAAAGCUGAGAGGACUUUACCUAGAUUUGCACACUUAACAGGGAUCUUAAAAGUUGUUCUCUCUUCAAGCUAGGACCCAAAUAAUCACCCGCACAUAUCAGCCGCUAUGUUAUUCUCUAAACUUGUCCACACAGAAAUCUCUUUUAUCCAGUUAAUGUACCUUUAAAGUUACCCCAUUAAGAAAGAGUAUCUGAAUUUUUGUUGAUUGAAACCUUACUGAAAAUCCCUAUAGUUCAAAGCUGGAGAAGACUUUCCACUUCUGCCAACUGCAAAUUUAUUCAAGAGGUCAAGACUUUGGCUAUAUGCAGGUAAAUUUCCACUAU
rnacentral:lncRNA from 1 species